rnacentral:rRNA from 1 species
UACGAAGGGUGCAAGCGUUAAUCGGAAUUACUGGGCGUAAAGCGUGCGUAGGCGGUUUGUUAAGUCUGUUGUGAAAUCCCCGGGCUCAACCUGGGAAUGGCAAUGGAUACUGGCAGGCUAGAGUGUGUCAGAGGAUGGUGGAAUUCCCGGUGUAGCGGUGAAAUGCGUAGAGAUCGGGAGGAACAUCAGUGGCGAAGGCGGCCAUCUGGAUCAACACUGACGCUGAGGCACGAAAGCGUGGGGAGCAAACAGG